ACUCUACCACAGUGGAGGGUAUGCUAAUCUCCUCCACUCAUCAGCACAUCUCAACACACACAGGUCACCCAGCCACAAGGACAAAGCCACAGUGURAACUAGCAACUGCACUACUUGCAAAUGCUCAGCCACCGCUUCAAUCAACCUUCAGGAGACCGGGGCUACCCAUUUAAAAACAUGGCUGAUGACUCCCCUUAAACCAACAAGUGGCCAGGUACAACCAAGCCCACGCAUGCACAAGAACAACAGCGGAGUGCACCAUAGGCCUGCUGAAAGGGCGUUGGCUGUGCUUGUCUGGGACAGGAGGCACGCUGCAAUACCAGCCUAGCAAGGUUUGCAGCGUGCUCCACAACAUUGCAAUCAAAAACGGCAUUCCACUGAAUGAUCCACCCAGACCCGAUGAGCCCAUGCCUGACAGGGAGUGUUUCCCACCWCCCAUAGCUCUGGCACUGAGGACAAGAGUCAAUAUCAUACAACCGUUUGAGGACUGCGUCAGUCAAAACAUGCGGCGCAGCUGAAGCGCGCGCCAAAGAGGACACCCACAUCUGUCAAGAUUUCAUGUUUUGUUACAUUCAUUU